rnacentral:rRNA from 2 species
UAAACGAUGUCGACUUGGAGGUUGUGCCCUUGAGGCGUGGCUUCCGGAGCUAACGCGUUAAGUCGACCGCCUGGGGAGUACGGCCGCAAGGUUAAAACUCAAAUGAAUUGACGGGGGCCCGCACAAGCGGUGGAGCAUGUGGUUUAAUUCGAUGCAACGCGAAGAACCUUACCUGGUCUUGACAUCCACGGAAGUUUUCAGAGAUGAGAAUGUGCCUUCGGGAACCGUGAGACAGGUGCUGCAUGGCUGUCGUCAGCUCGUGUUGUGAAAUGUUGGGUUAAGUCCCGCAACGAGCGCAACCCUUAUCCUUUGUUGCCAGCGGUCCGGCCGGGAACUCAAAGGAGACUGCCAGUGAUAAACUGGAGGAAGGUGGGGAUGACGUCAAGUCAUCAUGGCCCUUACGACCAGGGCUACACACGUGCUACAAUGGCGCAUACAAAGAGAAGCGACCUCGCGAGAGCAAGCGGACCUCAUAAAGUGCGUCGUAGUCCGGAUUGGAGUCUGCAACUCGACUCCAUGAAGUCGGAAUCGCUAGUAAUCGUGGAUCAGAAUGCCACGGUGAAUACGUUCCCGGGCCUUGUACACACCGCCCGUCACACCAUGGGAGUGGGUUGCAAAAGAAGUAGGUAGCUUAACCUUCGGGAGGGCGCUUACCACUUUGUGAUUCAUGACUGGGGUGAAGUCGUAACAAGGUAACCGUAGGGGAACCUGCGGUUGGAUCACCUCCUUACCUUAAAGAAGC